rnacentral:sRNA from 1 species
UCCCGAGGGUCCACGCCGCCAAAUUGGCGAG